AACGCACCUUGCGCUCCUAGGUCUUCCGAGGAGCAUGCCUGUUUGAGUGCCCAGAAUCAAUCUCAACUUAACACUUUGUGUUCAAGUUGGAUUUGGAGGUUAUGCCGUUGAACUAUUCACGGCUCCUCCUAAAUAUAUUAGCUGCUUGGUGAUUACACCGUUAGCUUGAUAUUAUGUCUAUGCUGCGGUUGAAUUAUUCCAGUGCUUCUAAUCGUCUUAUGACAAUAUUCUGACCUCGGGCCUCAAAUCAGGUAGGAUUACCCGCUGAACUUAA
rnacentral:misc_RNA from 1 species